rnacentral:rRNA from 1 species
CCCUUAGAUGUUCUGGGUCGCACGCGCGCUACACUGAUUCAUGCAACAAGUUUUGUCCUUGGCUGAUAGGCCUGGGUAAUCUUUGAACGUGAAUCGUGAUGGGGAUAGAUGAUUGCAAUUAUUCAUCUUCAACGAGGAAUUCCUAGUAAACGCAAGUCAUCAGCUUGCAUUGAUUACGUCCCUGCCCUUUGUACACACCGCCCGUCGCACCUACCGAUUGAAUGGUCCGGUGAAAUCUUCGGAUCUGAGAGAUGUCUGAUUAAUUUCGGACGCCUUUUGGAAAAGUUGUUUAAACCUUACCAUUUAGAGGAAGGUGAAGUCGUAACA